CUUCCGUUCUGAGAUUUGAGAGGUUUAUCGUGGAAAGAGGGAGCACUAGUUUGCAGUGUUUAAGACACAAAAAGCAAAAUGGCCCGUGGACAACAGAAAAUACAGUCUCAACAGAAGAAUGCUGAAAAGCAGGCCAAACUAAAGAAGGGACAAGCUCAAGAUUCCAAGAAGGCUGCUGCUGCAGCGCUCGUAUACAAGUGUACUGUCUGUAUGUCACAGAUGCCCGACCCUAAGACAUACAGACAACAUUUUGAGAUGAAGCAUCCCAAGCAUCCUCUUCCAGAUUGUCUGAAGGAUGCGUAGUUGUAUUUAUCGGAUAUAAGAUGACUGAAUGCAAGUACCUGAUUCCAUUGUGGGAUGUGAAAGAUUUCUUUGAGUUCAAACAUACUUUUAUAUGUCAUCAAAAUAUGAUGUUUGGAACUGAACUAUUCAAUGGUAGCAGAAAAUAACAAGACGAAAUUCAUUUGACAAAUAGUGUGUGUGAUUAAUUAUUGAUAAAUCUUUGUGAAAACAGAAAGAAAUAAUAUGAAGAAAAUACAUCUACCAGCAACAAGAAUGUUUUUUUUAAACUGAAAUGAAAGUAUCUGAUCACACUUAUAUCAUUAAAAAGGGAAACAGUUUUAACUGAUCAGGACCAAAACAUGCAUUUUGCAUCAAAAUUAUCAACUCAAGAUUUCCAUUUUCUUUCUUUUUUAAAAAAAUUAUUUGAUGGUAUUGCAUUUUUUCCUAAGACGUUUGUUGUAUUGUGGUUUCUGGAUAACAUUUGACAAUACGAUAGGAUCUUUAAAGCAGCCAGGAUCUUUAAAGAAACGAGGAUCUUUAAAGAGACCAGGAUUUUUAAAGAGACCAGGAUUGUUAAAGAGACCAGGAUCUUUAAAGAGGCCAGGAUCUUUAAAAAGACCAGGAUUUUUAAAGAGACCAGGAUCUUUAAAGAAAACAGGAUCUUUAAAAAGACCAGGAUUUUUAAAGCAGCCAGGAUAUUUAAAGUGGUCAAUGUCCUUAAAGUGAUAAGGAUCUUUAAAGCGAUCAGCUGGAUGUGUAGAUUUUCAUGUAGAGCAAUAUUAUUCCUGAAUUCCUGUCCUUAAGUAAAAUGAAUGUAGACAUACAAAUUUAAGUGUCUAAUGAUCAGGCUUUCUAUAAUGUUAGAAACUUCACAUGUGUUCUAAUUGAAAUGCAUUUUCUACUAAUUAUGUAAAUCUACUUUAUUAUUGCAUGCAUACUCUUGUGUAAAAUGUUUUGUUGGAUUUUGUCAAAGGGUUUUAUUUCCUUAUGCUAGAUAUAGUAUUUUUACUUUGUUGACGUACAGUGUACAAGGUUGAAGUUCAAUCACACGUAUACAGAAAUGUAUAUUAAAACGUUCUUUCUCUGUAGUUUUAGUUCUAGUUGUCCCUUGACAUUUAAGGGAUAUGUAAACACACAAGUCAAAUUUUUGCUGAAUGUUUCAUAAUGUAAUAUUAACAAAUAUAAUGCAGAUGUUAUAUAAUUUAUGAUCACAUAAGAGAUGUUUUGUAAUGAAAAUUGGGGAAAACAAAAAUCCAGGAUGUUCAAAUUAUAGUAUAUCAUAAUUUUUCAGCUAUUAAACUUUUAAAAAAGUAAUGUUUGUUUGAUAAUGGGUGUGAUUGACAUGGUGUCCAAUUUAAAUCACAGAAUGUUUGAGAAAAGAUCUAUUCUUAAUUGUAAAUACAUCAUUUAGGUUGAGGUACACAUUAAACAGUGUUCGUCAAAUAAAUUAGUAGUGUAGUGUUUACUGACACAGGGACUUGGCAGAUGUAUUAUAUGUAGGUAUAUGGAUCAUUGUGUUGGAAAUUUGGACCAAGUCCCUGUGUUACAGGACAUUAAAUAUUGUUGUUAACAACGUUAACAUUUCUCAACUGUUUCGACCCAUCUUGGAUAUUUUCACAUUAACCUUGAACCAGUUGCUUUAUUACCAUCAUUGGAAUUUUUGGGUAAUUAUGGCCAUGUAUCUUUAUAUAUUUAUGCAAUGUCCAUAGAAUAUUUUUGUUAUUGGGUAAUGCUCCACAAUUUCAUUUAUACAGCGCAUGGCAAAAAGAAUCCAACAAGCAUAAGAAAUACCAAUUUCACAGCUUUUACACUGGUUUGGGAUGCCGGUUCAGUUGCCUCAUUUAAGGAAAAUUUUUGAAUGGCAAAUUGAGAAAAAAAAAUUCAAGAAAUAUUGGGAAUUUGGCUUAAAUAUGAAUUCAUUUCAGUUAGGAAUUAUACUUAUCAUCAGCCCCAAAAUGUCAACGGAAAAACAAGUAAACAUUUCCACAUACAUAUUCAUGAAUUCUUUAAUGAAAAUUUAACUGAAAGACUGCUGAUUGCAUCAUCAUUGCUUAGAUGUAUGGUAAUUGGGCUAAAUCAUUUAACCUAGAGUUGUAUCCAUCUGUUGUAUGCAUGUAUCUGUUGUAAUGUAAUGACUCAGAGGAGAGGACAUUGUGAAGUGUAGCUAUCUAACUAUGUUCAGUCGGGGAAGAAAAAAAUAAGUAUAUUUAAUUUUCCUGGUAAUCUAUAACUUUUUGUGAGUUUAUUCUUGAAGUAUUCAUGUACAGUCUUGUGUACAUACUUAUUUCAUUUGAUAAAUUUUGUUUUCUGUUUUAUUGAUAGAUAUAUAUCUGGGUAAAGAUUUUCUAAAAUCAAGUUUGUAGCAAUGGCAAGUUGAUAUAUGAUCCUGUGGAGAAGUCUGAUAUUUCAAUCAUAAUAUAUAUAAAUGCAUGUCAUAUAGGUGUGGUAUUAUGGUUGACAUCAAAGUGUUGUCAAGUUUUUGUUUAUAACACUAGAUUGACCUUGAAGGGUCAAGUUGUCUUUCUAGUGGUUGAUAUCAUUAGAGUGACCUUGAAGGGUCAAGCUGUCAAUUGAUAAAACUAGAGGAAUCUUUAAGGUUCAAGCUUUCCUUGUAGUAGUUGAUAACACUAGUGACCUUGAAGGGUCAAGUUGUCUUUCUAGUGAUUGAUAAAACUAGAGGAAUCUUUAAGGGUCAAGCUUUCCUUGUAGUAGUUGAUAACACUAGUGACCUUGAAGGGUCAAGUUGUCUUUGUAGUGAUUGAUAAAACUUUCUUUGUAGUACUUGAUAACACUAGAGGAUACUAUUAUAUGGAAUAGCUAAAUAUAGGGUAAAAGUUUGAUUCAAAAAGACUUUAUAGGACCUUUGAGCUAUUGCAAAACAAGAACUCAUUGCCAAGCAGGGGCUUAUUGCUUAGCAGGGACGUCUUAUUGGCGGAGCAGGGGCUUACUGUAAGUCGAUGGUAUAUUAAAGGUAAAUAACGGUGGAAAAUAGUUAUCCACAAACUUUGUCAUCCUGUAUUUGUAUAACUACUGACAUGAUUGUAUCUCCAAAUGACCAUUUUUCCAAAGAUAACUUUUCUGUUGAAUAUGUUGUAUCUAUUAUUAUUUCUAGUCUUGCCUUCAAUGUGGAGCAAAGAAACUUCAAUCUGUUGUUUUUUUCCCCCAGAAUUAACAUAGAUACUGAAUCUCUUGAAGGGGAUGGGUAAAAUAUUAUUAAUUAACUUCGAUCUUGGGAAGGAGAGGAGAGAGUAGACUAAUAUAUAUUGUAUGUUUCCUACCACUAACACAUUCCUUGGUCCACAAUACAAAAUAACUUGAUUACCUUAUUUGGCUAACAUAUACCAUUAAGUAUGUAUAUUAUAAAAAUUAAAUAUGGAUAAAGCCUCCACCUAUGCAGGUAUUUAUGCUUGUGAAUUUUCACAAAAAUCUUAUAUAAAUUUAUGUUGCCUGCUAAUAAUAAAUGCACAUUUCUUACCAAUGAACUGAUACGCCUUUACCUUGUACAGUGUAUGUGUCAUGUUUUAUAAUUUUGGACCUAAUGUGUCGGCUUGUUCUGUAAGGCGUUUUGCUUAUUUCAGAAUUCAGCUCAUUGCUUAUCACAGAUAGGAUUUAUGUUAUAAGUAGUUUAUUUCAAGAAUUAUUUUUUCUGAUAAGAAAAAAGAGGAUCUUUUGGAAAAUAGUUGAUUAUGAUAGAAAUUAAGUGUCUUAAAAUUCAUUUUUCAGAAUUUCAUUGUGCACCCUCAAUAAUGUAUUCCAAUAUAUAGACCACAGUGCUGUAGACAACCUUUUUAAAGACCAAAGUGGUUGGUUUCUUAAAUUGUUUUUCAUGACUAGAUAGUUUUUGACAUAAAUUUUUAUUACCACUCUCUGGGAUUUUUUCCUGUACGAUUAUAAAACCUUGACCAUCAUAUAUCUUGGAAAUAAAGUCUGGUAAAGAAGAAAGACUUUUUUUAAAUGAUAUAGAAAGCCACUUCACAUAAUAACAAGGUUGUAAAUUAAGCCGCUGUAUUGUGUAGGUAGCAAAUUGUUCAGUUGUAAUGAGUCUACACGUUUCCUUUAUUGGUGCAAUUUGUCAAUAAAAGGUAUUUUAUAUUAAA